AUGAGUGUGUUGAGCUGGAACUGCCGGGGGCUUGGGACCCCCGGGGCAGUUCGCGAGCUCCGCAGUAUGGUGAAGCAAGAAGUUCCCUCUCUUCUCUUUGUUAUGGAGACAAAGAUUAGAGGAAGGAGAGUGGAGGAUUUGAAGAAUUUAUUGGGUUUUGGAGGCUGCUCUGCCGUGGACAGUGUGGGCCUAAGUGGUGGCAUAGGUCUAUUCUGGUCCAGGAAAGUUUUGGUUGAGCUGAAAUCCUAUAGCUCAAGCCAUAUUGAUGUAAUGGUUAAAAAUGAUGAACAAAAUUCUCGAGAGUGGAGAUUUACAGGGUUUUAUGGGGCACCACGAGCUUAG
rnacentral:rRNA from 1 species